AUGGAGCCGAACGCAUCGAGCAACGCGUGCGUUACCGGGCUGGGGCUCCAGUCAGGGCUACACUCCGGACGGCACGCCGGCCACUUCUCGGCGCCGGUGGCCGCGCUGCUGGCGGCGCUCAGGGCGCUGCUGGCGCUGGCCACGGUGCUGGGCAACUCACUGAUCGUGGUGGUCUUUGCCGUGGACCGCAGCCUGCGCUCCAGCGACAACUUCCUCCUCAAUUUGGCUGUCGCCGACCUCCUGGUGGGUGACUUACAGAGCUCAGAAGGGCAUGACCAGGAAUAUUGUUUUCGAGUUGGUGGGUGGUGGCAUUCCUCGUCUAUGGACCUGCCAUCAUCGGUUGGGCAUAUGUGGCCAAAAGGAGCAUCCUGCCUCAGGGGGAGUGCUAUGCUGAGUUCUUCUACAACUGAUGACGACCUCCAUCAUCGAAUUCUUCAUUCCCUUUAUCAGCGUCACUUACUUCAACUUGAGCAUCUACAUCAACAUUCAGAAGCGCACCUCCCUGAGGAGGAACAACAUUGCCCAGAGCCAAGACAACUCGGAGAUGAACUUCCAGGGGAGAAAAAACACAUUAUACUUUUUGUUAAACUAGUUGAGACGAGGAGCAGGAAGAAGAGAGACCAGGUACUCUCCCCCAGACACAAGGGUCUUUCCUUGGAUGUCCCUGGGACUCAAGAUUUACCACCUCUGCAGGUAGACAUCCAAGCCAAAGCAGCACACUGGCAACAGAACAACUACAGGGCCAGCAAGUGUCUGCAUUGCCCAGAGACAGCCAGACCUCGCCAGCUCACUGGCCAGCCGCCUGCAGCUCUUCCAGAUUAAGCAAGUGGCCAGGUGGCUAGCCAUCAUCAUGUGUGUUUGGCCUGUGCUGGACACCCUACACAUUGCUCAUGAUCAUCCGAGCUGCCUGCCAUGGGAUAUGCAUCCAGCACUCCCUCCACGAGAUGUCUUUCUGGCUCCUCUGGCUGAAUUCGGCUAUCAACCCUGUUCUGUACCCUUUAUGCCACAUGAGUUUCAGAAGAGUUUCAUCAAACUGCUAUGCCCUGGAAAAGCCAAGAUCCACCCUCAUAUGUACAUAGGACAGAAAUGCCUCCUGGAGCAGAUUGCCUAAACCCCUUAUACUGUCCAAAGGAAAGAUGUUUACAAACACUUCCCUAGGCCACUGCCACACAUUUCUCCUUAGUCUUUACCACAAGGAAAUGUAAGAACCAUCUUACAUUAUAAGAAACAAGUGAAACAAUUUACUGCAAGUACUAUUAAAAAUGUGUCUAUGGAAUUGUUAUCUAGGGCUUCUUACUCAAAAGUAUGGUCCCUGGACCAACAGCAUUAUAUGGGGGCAUAUUAGAAACAUGGAAUCUUUGGCCCUACCACAGACCUGCUGAAUUCCAGAAUCUGCAUUUUAACAAGAUCCCAGGUGAUUUGUAUGUUUAAUAAAGCUUGAGAAUCUGGUCCA
rnacentral:lncRNA from 1 species